rnacentral:ncRNA from 2 species
ACAAUGAUACUCCUGUCCCUUGAUUUCAGGGGGCAGCUCGGAGCGUUCCUCGGAGGGGUGAGAUUCCCGUGA